rnacentral:rRNA from 1 species
AGUAACACGUGGGUAACCUGCCUUAUGGAGGGGGAUAACAGAGAGAAAUCACUGCUAAUACCGCAUAAGCACACAGUACCACAUGGUACAGGGUGAAAAGAUUUAUCGCCAUAAGAUGGACCCGCGUCUGAUUAGCCAGUUGGCAGGGUAAAAGCCUACCAAAGCAACGAUCAGUAGCCGAUCUGAGAGGAUGACCGGCCACAUUGGGACUGAGACACGGCCCAA